rnacentral:lncRNA from 1 species
AGAGAGAAAGAGAAGAUUUUCUGCUUGAGAAAGUAAAUCUUCACAGUAAAAGUUAUGAAAUGGAGGACUUAACAAGAAUGUCAGCUUCAGAGCUCAUGAAUCACUGUAAAUGGAAAUUAGAAUCAACAAAUGGGGAGCUUCAUUAUAAAUCUGAAACACCUCCAAAGUCGCAAGUGCAACCACUAAAUAUAUCUUUAGAUCCCUAAUAUCAAAUAUGACAGAAAGUUCAUGAAUUUUUUAAAGAAACUUUUAUCAUAUAAAUUUUUAAAAUCUAAAAUGAUGUAAAGAGUCAUAAAACAUUAUACAUAGUUUUUGUUUUGUUCUGUUUUACUAAAGUCUAAUAGUUUUUAAUAC